ACGACUGCUAAGACUGGAUAGGAGAUAAGAAGGCAUCUUUUUAUUUUUAAAAGACCUAGCAAUAGGUAUGCUUAGGGAAGAGCUUGCGUCACAUUAGUUAGUUGGUGGGGUAAUGGCCUACCAAGACGAUGAUGUGUAGUCGGGCUGAGAGGUCGAACGGCCACAUUGGGACUGAGACACGGCCCAAACUCCUACGGGAGGCAGCAGUAAGGAAUUUUCGGCAAUGGAGGUAACUCUGACCGAGCAAUGCCGCGUGAACGAUGAAGUAUUUCGGUACGUAAAGUUCUUUUAUUAGGGAAGAAAAGAUGGUGGAAAAACCAUUAUGACGGUACCUAAUGAAUAAGCCCCGGCUAACUAUGUGCCAGCAGCCGCGGUAAUACAUAGGGGGCAAGCGUUAUCCGGAAUUAUUGGGCGUAAAGGGUGCGUAGGCGGUUAAAUAAGUUUAUGGUCUAAGUGCAACGCUCAAACGUUGUGAUGCUAUAAAAACUGUUUAGCUAGAGUUGGAUAGAGGCAAGUGGAAUUCCGUGUGUAGUGGUAAAAUGCGUAAAUAUACGGAGGAACACCAGAAGCGAAGGCGGCUUGCUGGGUCUUAACUGACGCUGAGGCACGAAAGCGUGGGGAGCAAACAGGAUUAGAUACCCUGGUAGUCCACGCCCUAAACGAUGAGUACUAAACGUUGGAUUAAACCAGUGUUGAAGUUAACACAUUAAGUACUCCGCCUGAGUAGUACGUACGCAAGUAUGAAACUUAAAGGAAUUGACGGGACUCCGCACAAGCGGUGGAUCAUGUUGUUUAAUUCGAAGGUACCCGAAAAACCUCACCAGGUCUUGACAUGCUUUUGCAAAGCUGUAGAAAUACAGUGGAGGUUAUCAGAAGCACAGGUGGUGCAUGGUUGUCGUCAGCUCGUGUCGUGAGAUGUUGGGUUAAGUCCCGCAACGAGCGCGACCCUUGUUGUUAAUUGCCAUCAUUAAGUUGGGGACUUUAGCAAGACUGCCAAUGAUAAAUUGGAGGAAGGUGGGGACGACGUCAAAUCAUCAUGCCCCCUUAUGACCUGGGCUACAAACGCGAUACAAUGGCUGUUACAAAGGGUAGCUAAAGCGUAAGCUUCUGGCGAAUCACAAAAAAGCAGUCUCAGUUCGGAUUGGAGUCUGCAACUCGACUUCAUGAAGUUGGAAUCGUUAGUAAUCGCGAAUCAGCAUGUCGCGGUGAAUACGUUGACGGGGUUUGUACACACCGCCCGUCA
rnacentral:rRNA from 1 species